rnacentral:lncRNA from 1 species
GGCUCUGCUCAGUCGGGAGGAGGCGCCCUGGGCCAGAAUCCUGGCUGCCACCAGCCCUAGGAGUCCUUGAGCAUCAGCAGGGCUUGCCCGUCGAUUUCCUGGGCACGGAAUUCCUCUGCUAUCUCCUGGCAGCCUGAGGGGGUACCACCAAAGACAGUGUCAAUCCAAGCCGCCAGUGUUCACCUCUGGCAGCCACUGCAUCUAGUUAUCUAGAUCUAGUUAUCUGCAUCCAUUAUUUCUUUUAGUCCUCAUAACCACGCCUUGAGGAAGGCGCUGCUGUUCUUAUUUUGCAGCUUGAGAGAGGCUGUGCAACUCACCCACAGCAGCCGCGAUCUGGGCCUCCUCCUAUGUUCCCCUGUUCAGACCCCUGCUCCAUGAACUGGGCGGACCCAUGUCCACUAAAGUGCUGAGGAAGUGACAGCGUGUGAUUUCUGAGGCUAGAUCAUAAAGGGCACAGCAGUUCUCACCUCACUCUUCUGCCUGGGUUACUGCAGAGUAAGCCAGCUACCAGUAAGCCACCCCAGCAACCCUUUGGAGAGGCAUGCGUGGAGAGCAGCCAAGGCCCUGGUGGUCCCCGGCCUCCUUGCCGUGUGAGUGAACCGUGCUGGAAGUGGGUUUUCUGGCUCCAGACCUCAGACACUGCAGCCUGUAUGGCGUCUUCCCUGAGACCUCAUAUGACCUCAAACUCAUACACUGGGUCUGUGGAAGGGAGCAGAUAACCUCUCUGUUUCUAGUUCUUAGACUAAGAGGAACUGGACACCAGGAGCCUCAUACCAGGACUGCCCAGCCGAGCCACUCGAUUCCUGACCCACAUGGCCCUUGAGAUGACAAGUGAUUGCUGCUUAAAGUCACUGAGUUCUGGAAUAAUUUACAUCAUGGCAAUAGUUCCAAUAUUCAGUAUCAGGCCUGGUCCUCCUAAUCUACUGGAGAAGAGUUGGUUAUGGCAUGGCAUCUAAUAGUCAUCUCUUCUUAAUACAAAUGAUAAUAAAUUUCACUGCUAAGACGACAAUCAUCUGAAAAAAACAGACAUUUGCUUAUGUUUUAAAGUCAUAAUAGCAAACUGGGGCUCUCUUCAACAUCUGGAUUCAUCUCAGAGCACUGGCAAUCUGUGUUUAACAGCAGUCAUGUCUUUACCAGAUGUAGAAAGAAUGUUCUCUUCUUUUGGACUUACCUAAAUAUCAUUUGGAAAUUGGAAGAACAGGAAAGCAUAUCCUUUUUCACUAACUAUAAAAAUAAUUUGGAAGGAGAAGGAAACAAAAAAAACCUUGAAGUUUUCUAUGCUGGUCUACAUGGUCUUACAAUGAAUCUCAGAGCAACGGUUUAUGACUUAAAUUAUAUGCUGUGUUCCUUAGCAUACUUUUUCUUCAAAAACUAGUAAUUCUAAAUUGUAUAAUUCUUGACUAUGAUAAAAGAGCCCAUUUCUUGACCAUGUCAUUUAUACUGGACUUUUGUUACUGAUGGGGAAAAAUCCAGAAUUUGUAAUAAUUAUGUCUUGGAUAUGCAAAUGGUUGAUUAUUUUCCUAACAAUUCCCAAAAUAUCCACAUCAUAAAGCAGAAUUAAAGAUGGUUUGCCUCUCA